rnacentral:rRNA from 1 species
UGAGGCGCGAAAGCUAGGGGAGCGAACAGGAUUAGAUACCCUGGUAGUCCUAGCCGUAAACGUUGGGUGCUAGGUGUGGGCGGAUAUCGACCCCGUCCGUGCCGAAGCUAACGCAUUAAGCACCCCGCCUGGGGAGUACGGCCGCAAGGCUAAAACUCAAAGGAAUUGACGGGGGCCCGCACAAGCGGCGGAGCAUGCGGCUUAAUUCGAUGCAGCGCGAAGAACCUUACCUGGGCUUGACAUGCAGGGCAAAGCCGGUGAAAGCCGGCGCUCUACGGAGCCUGCACAGGUGGUGCAUGGCUGUCGUCAGCUCGUGCCGUGAGGUGUUGCCUUAAGUGGCGCAACGAGCGCAACCCUUGUCCUUAGUUGCCAGCGGGUAAAGCCGGGAACUCUAGGGAGACUGCCGGUGCCAAACCGGAGGAAGGUGGGGAUGACGUCAAGUCAUCAUGCCCCUUAUGUCCAGGGCUGCACGCAUGCUACAAUGCGCGGUACAAAGGGCUGCGAUCCCGUAAGGGGGAGCGAAUCCCAAAAAGCCGCGCUCAGUUCGGAUCGGGGUCUGCAACCCGACCCCGUGAAGUGCGGAGUCGCUAGUAAUCG